rnacentral:misc_RNA from 1 species
GAUGAAGAACGUAGCGAAAUGCGAUAAGUAGUGUGAAUUGCAGAAUUCAGUGAAUCAUCGAAUCUUUGAACGCACAUUGCGCCCUUUGGUAUUCCAAAGGGCAUGCCUGUUCGAGCGUCAUUUGUACCCUCAAGCUUUGCUUGGUGUUGGGCGUCUUGUCUCUAGCUUUGCUGGAGACUCGCCUUAAAGUAAUUGGCAGCCGGCCUACUGGUUUCGGAGCGCAGCACAAGUCGCACUCUCUAUCAGCAAAGGUCUAGCAUCCACUAAGCCUUUUUUUCAACUUUUGACCUCGGAUCAGGUAGGGAUACCCGCUGAACUUAAGCAUAUCAAUAGCGGAGGA